UUUCCCUCUUUAUUCUUUUUAGUGUGUCGUUUUCUUGUAUAUAUAUAUAUAUAUAUAUAUAUAUAUAUAUAAACAUAUAUAUAUAAGAAUCAAGUAUGAAUAACCCAUACGUGAUAUUUAAAACAUUUUUAAACAACAUGUGUAUGAUUUCAAUGAAUAACUCGUAAAAUACAAAUAGAACUUGUUAAGUUAUUUCUAGGUUGAUUUUUCUAUUUAUGUUAUCUCUUUUUCUGUGUUUUUUAUAAGUUAUGAGUAAUGUAGGGUUUCUUCUUUCCCUCUUUAUUCGUUUUACUGUGUCGUUAUCUUGUAUAUAUAUAUAUAUAUAUAUAUAUAUAAACAUAUAUAUAAGAAUCAAAUAUAAAUAACCCAUACAUGAUAUUUAAAACAUUUUUAAACAACUUGUGUAUGAUUUCAAUGAAUAACUCGUAAAAUACAACUAGAACUGGUUAAGUUAUUUUUAGGUUGAUUUUUCUAUUUAUAUUAUCUCUUUUUCUGUGUUUUUAAAAUAGUUUUGUGUUAUGUAGGUUUUGUAUUUUCCCUCUUUAUUCUUUAUAAUGUGUCGUUAUCUUGUAUAUAUAUAAACAUAUAUAUAAGAAUCAAAUACGAAUAACCCAUACAUGAUAUUUAAAACAUUUUUAAACAACUUGUGUAUGAUUUCAAUGAAUAACUCGUAAAUUACAACUAGAACUGGUUAAGUAAUUUCUAGGUUGAUUUUUCUAUUUAUGUUAUCUCUUAUUCUGUGUUUUUUUAAUCGUUUUGUGUUAUGUAGGGUUUGUUUUUUCCCUCUUUAUUCUUUUUAGUGUGUCGUUAUCUUGUAUAUAUAUAAACAUAUAUAUAAGAAUCAAAUAUGAAUAACCCAUACAUGAUAUUUAAAACAUUUUUAAACAACUUGUGUAUGAUUUCAAUGAAUAACUCGUAAAAUACAACUAGAACUUGUUAAGUUAUUUCUAGGUUAAUUUUUCUAUUUAUGUUAUCUCUUUUUCUGUGUUAAUUAAUAGUUAUGAGUAAUGUAGGGUUUCUUCUUUCCCUCUUUAUUCUUUUUAGUGUGUCGUUAUCUUGUAUAUAUAUAUAAAUAUAUAUAUAAGAAUCAAAUAUGAAAAACCCAUACGUGAUAUUUAAAAUAUUUUUAAACAACUUGUGUAUCAUUUCAAUGAAUAACUCGUAAAUUACAACUAGAACUGGUUAAGUAAUUUCUAGGUUGAUUUUUCUAUUUAUGUUAUCUUUUUUUCUGUGUUUUUUUAAUAGUUUUAUGGUAUGUGGGGUUUGUUUUUUCCGUCUUUAUUCUUUUUAGUGUGUCGUUUUCUUGUAUAUAUAUAUAUAUAAACAUAUAUAUAAGAAUCAAAUAUGAAUAACCCAUACGUGAUAUUUAAAACAUUUUUAAACAACUUGUGUAUGAUUUCAAUGAAUAACUCGUAAAAUACAACUAGAACUUGUUAAGUUAUUUCUAGGUUUAUUUUUCUAUUUAUGUUAUCUCUUUUUCUGUGUUUUUUAAUAGUUAUGAGUAAUGUAGGGUUUCUUCUUUCCCUCUUUAUUCGUUUUAGUGUGUCGUUAUCUUGUAUCUAUAUAUAAACAUAUAUAUAAGAAUCAAAUAUGAAUAACCCAUACAUGAUAUUUAAAACAUUUUUAAACAACUUGUGUAUGAUUUCAAUGAAUAACUCGUAAAAUACAACUAGCACUGGUUAAGUAAUUUCUAGGUUGAUUUUUCGAUUUAUCGUAUCUCUUUUUCUGUGUUUUUUAAUAGUUAUAUGUAAUGUAGGGUUUCUUUUUUCCCUCUUUAUUCUUUUUAGUGUGUCGUUAUCUUGUUUAUAUAUAAACAUAUAUAUAAGAAUCAAAUAUGAAUAACCAAUACGUGAUAUUUAAAACAUUUUUAAACAACUUGUGUAUGAUUUCAAUGAAUAA
rnacentral:lncRNA from 1 species